GACGAACGCUGACGGUGUGCUUUAGACAUGCAAGUCGAACGAGAAAGCCCUUCGGGGUGAGUACAGUGGCGAACGGGUGAGUAACACGUGGGCAACCUGCCCCUCGCAGGGGGACAACCGGAGGAAACUCCGGCUAAUACCCCGUAAGCUUGUUGGGUCGCAUGACCCUUCAAGGAAAGGUAGCUUCGGCCAUCCGGCGAGGGAUGGGCCCGCGGUACAUUAGCUAGUUGGUGGGGUAACGCCCACCAAGGCGACGANGUAUAGCUGGUCUGAGAGGAUGAUCAGCCACACUGGGACUGAGACACGGCCCAGACUCCUACGGGAGGCAGCAGUCGGGAAUCUUGCGCAAUGGGCGAAAGCCUGACGCAGCAACACCGUGUGAGCGACGAAGGGCCUUCGGGUCGU
rnacentral:rRNA from 1 species